GACGGGGGGGGCAAGUGUUCUUCGGAAUGACUGGGCGUAAAGGGCGCGUAGGCGGAUUGUACAGUCAGGCGUGAAAUUCCCGGGCUCAACCUGGGGGCUGCGCUUGAGACGUGCGAUCUUGAGUGGGGAAGAGGGUCGUGGAAUUCCCAGUGUAGAGGUGAAAUUCGUAGAUAUUGGGAAGAACACCGGUGGCGAAGGCGGCGACCUGGUCCUUGACUGACGCUGAGGCGCGAAAGCGUGGGGGAGCAAACAGG
rnacentral:rRNA from 1 species